AGACAAUCACAGUCUGCUUAAACUAAUAACACACAAAGAAUGAAAUGUUGCCAUGUUUUUAUUGAACACACCAUGUAAACAUUCACAGUGCAGGUGGAAAAAGCAUGUGAACCCUUGGAUUUAAUAACUGGUUGAACCUCCUUUGGCAGCAAUAACUUCAACCAAACGUUUCCUGUAGUUGCAGAUCAGACGUGCACAACGGUCAGGAGUAAUUCUUGACCAUUCCUCUUUACAGAACUGUUUCAGUUCAGCAAUAUUCUUGGGAUGUCUGGUGUGAAU